rnacentral:lncRNA from 1 species
GGAUUUGUUCUUGGGACGCCCAUACACUCCAAAACGCGUCUUGCCAAUUAAGGUGUGGAUCACUCCUUAUAAACUCAGCAUCUCUCCCGUGCUUUGCCGAUGUGGGAUUCGCCUAGGGUGUUACAUACACCCCCCCUUGGGGACUCAGCGUCCUCGCUGAGGUUUGCCCCACCAUCGCUCAAGAGGACACGCGGAGCCGCUCUGAUACCAUAAUGUC